rnacentral:rRNA from 1 species
UACGGGAGGCAGCAGUGGGGAAUAUUGCACAAUGGGCGCAAGCCUGAUGCAGCCAUGCCGCGUGUAUGAAGAAGGCCUUCGGGUUGUAAAGUACUUUCAGUCGUGAGGAAGGUGUUAAGGUUAAUAACCUUAGCAAUUGACGUUAGCGACAGAAGAAGCACCGGCUAACUCCGUGCCAGCAGCCGCGGUAAUACGGAGGGUGCGAGCGUUAAUCGGAAUUACUGGGCGUAAAGGGCACGCAGGCGGUUAAUUAAGUUGGAUGUGAAAUCCCCGGGCUUAACCUGGGAAUGGCAUUCAAGACUGGUUAGCUAGAGUCUUGUAGAGGGGGUAGAAUUCCAUGUGUAGCGGUGAAAUGCGUAGAGAUGUGGAGGAAUACCGGUGGCGAAGGCGGCCCCUGGACAAAGACUGACGCUCAUGUGCGAAAAGCGUGGGGAGCAAAACAGGGAUUAGAUACC